rnacentral:rRNA from 5 species
UUAAGUGAAUAAGGGCGCACGGUGGAUGCCUUGGCACUAGGAGCCGAUGAAGGACGGGACUAACACCGAUAUGCUUUGGGGAGCUGUACGUAAGCUAUGAUCCAGAGAUUUCCGAAUGGGGGAACCCAGCAUCUUUAAUAGGAUGUUACGAUUGUGUGAAUACAUAGCACAUUCGAGGUAGACGCAGAGAACUGAAACAUCUAAGUACCUGCAGGAAGAGAAAGAAAAUUCGAUUCCCUGAGUAGCGGCGAGCGAAACGGGAAAAGCCCAAACCAGCAAGCUUGCUUGUUGGGGUUGUAGGACUCCAAUAUGGUAGUUCUUUCAGAUAGUCGAAUGACUUGGAAAAGUCAGUCAAAGAGGGUAAAAACCCCGUAGACGAAAUGUGGAAGACACCUAGGAGGAUCCUGAGUACGGCGGAACACGAGAAAUUCCGUCGGAAUCCGGGAGGACCAUCUCCCAAGGCUAAAUACUCCCUAGUGACCGAUAGUGAACCAGUACCGUGAGGGAAAGGUGAAAAGCACCCCGGAAGGGGAGUGAAAUAGAACCUGAAACCGUGUGCCUACAACAAGUCAAAGCCCGUUAAUGGGUGAUGGCGUGCCUUUUGUAGAAUGAACCGGCGAGUUACGAUUGCAUGCGAGGUUAAGUUGAAGAGACGGAGCCGCAGCGAAAGCGAGUCUGAAUAGGGCGUUUGAGUAUGUAGUCGUAGACCCGAAACCAUGUGAUCUACCCAUGUCCAGGUUGAAGGUGCGGUAAAACGCACUGGAGGACCGAACCCACGUACGUUGAAAAGUGCGGGGAUGAGGUGUGGGUAGCGGAGAAAUUCCAAACGAACUUGGAGAUAGCUGGUUCUCUCCGAAAUAGCUUUAGGGCUAGCCUCGGAAUUGAGAAUGAUGGAGGUAGAGCACUGUUUGGACUAGGGGCCCAUCUCGGGUUACCGAAUUCAGAUAAACUCCGAAUGCCAUUCAUUCAUAUCCGGGAGUCAGACUGUGAGUGAUAAGAUCCAUAGUCGAAAGGGAAACAGCCCAGACCACCAGCUAAGGUCCCAAAAUAUAUGUUAAGUGGAAAAGGAUGUGGGGUUGCACAGACAACUAGGAUGUUGGCUUAGAAGCAGCCAUCAUUUAAAGAGUGCGUAAUAGCUCACUAGUCGAGUGACCCUGCGCCGAAAAUGUACCGGGGCUAAACAUAUUACCGAAGCUGUGGAGUACACCUUUAGGUGUAUUGGUAGGAGAGCGUUCUAAGGGCGUCGAAGGCAGAUCGUGAGGACUGCUGGAGCGCUUAGAAGUGAGAAUGCCGGUAUGAGUAGCGAAAGACAGGUGAGAAUCCUGUCCACCGAAUGACUAAGGUUUCCUGGGGAAGGCUCGUCCGCCCAGGGUUAGUCGGGACCUAAGCCGAGGCCGACAGGCGUAGGCGAUGGAUAACAGGUUGAUAUUCCUGUACCCGUUGUUUUUGUUUGAGCAAUGGAGGGACGCAGGAGGCUAAGGAAUGCAGACGAUCGGAAAUGUCUGUCCAAGCAGUAAGUCUGAAGAGGAGUCAAAUGCUUCUUUUCUUAAGGACAAGCUGUGAUGGGGAGGGAAAUAAUAGUACCGAAGUUCCUGAUGUCACACUGCCGAGAAAAGCUUCUAGUGAGAAAACAGCGGCCCGUACCGCAAACCGACACAGGUAGUCGAGGAGAGAAUCCUAAGGUGAGCGAGAGAACUCUCGUUAAGGAACUCGGCAAAAUGACCCCGUAACUUCGGGAGAAGGGGUGCUGAUCAUACGAUCAGCCGCAGUGAAUAGGCCCAAGCGACUGUUUAUCAAAAACACAGGUCUCUGCAAAAUCGUAAGAUGAAGUAUAGGGGCUGACGCCUGCCCGGUGCUGGAAGGUUAAGAGGAGUGCUUAGCGCAAGCGAAGGUACGAAUUGAAGCCCCAGUAAACGGCGGCCGUAACUAUAACGGUCCUAAGGUAGCGAAAUUCCUUGUCGGGUAAGUUCCGACCCGCACGAAAGGCGUAACGAUUUGGGCACUGUCUCAACGAGAGACUCGGUGAAAUUUUAGUACCUGUGAAGAUGCAGGUUACCCGCGACAGGACGGAAAGACCCCAUGGAGCUUUACUGUAGUUUGAUAUUGAGUGUCUGUACCGCAUGUACAGGAUAGGUAGGAGCCGUAGAAAUCGGAACGCUAGUUUCGAUGGAGGCGCUGGUGGGAUACUACCCCUGCGUUAUGGCCACUCUAACCCGCACCACUAAUCGUGGUGGGAGACAGUGUCAGAUGGGCAGUUUGACUGGGGCGGUCGCCUCCUAAAAGGUAACGGAGGCGCCCAAAGGUUCCCUCAGAAUGGUUGGAAAUCAUUCGAAGAGUGUAAAGGCAGAAGGGAGCUUGACUGCGAGACCAACAAGUCGAGCAGGGACGAAAGUCGGGCUUAGUGAUCCGGUGGUUCCGCAUGGAAGGGCCAUCGCUCAACGGAUAAAAGCUACCCUGGGGAUAACAGGCUUAUCUCCCCCAAGAGUCCACAUCGACGGGGAGGUUUGGCACCUCGAUGUCGGCUCGUCGCAUCCUGGGGCUGUAGUCGGUCCCAAGGGUUGGGCUGUUCGCCCAUUAAAGCGGCACGCGAGCUGGGUUCAGAACGUCGUGAGACAGUUCGGUCCCUAUCCGUCGCGGGCGUUGGAAAUUUGAGAGGAGCUGUCCUUAGUACGAGAGGACCGGGAUGGACUUACCGCUGGUGUACCAGUUGUUCUGCCAAGGGCAUUGCUGGGUAGCUAUGUAGGGAAGGGAUAAACGCUGAAAGCAUCUAAGUGUGAAGCCCACCUCAAGAUGAGAUUUCCCAUUUCUUUAAGAAAGUAAGAUCCCUGAGAGAUGAUCAGGUAGAUAGGUCAGGAGUGGAAGUACAGUGAUGUAUGGAGCGGACUGAUACUAAUCGAUCGAGGACUUAACCAA